AAUGGUCACAACAGUGCAAUACUGGAAGAGAUGCAGGAACAAGAAAACUAUCUGAGUGGCCAGCCGGGGGCAGGGAGAAGGACACGGAGCAAGAGCAGGGGAUAAUCCUACAGAGAGGAAAAAAGUACACACUGCUCAAAGUUCAGCAAGACAGUGACAGCUUUAAAUACACAAUCACCCUAAUGAAGUGGUACGGUUAAUGUACUACUCAUCCUUACAAACCUCUCACAAAUUUAGU